AUUGAACGCUGGCGGCAGGCUUAACACAUGCAAGUCGAGCGGGGGAAGGUAGCUUGCUACCGGACCUAGCGGCGGACGGGUGAGUAAUGCUUAGGAAUCUGCCUAUUAGUGGGGGACAACAUCUCGAAAGGGAUGCUAAUACCGCAUACGUCCUACGGGAGAAAGCAGGGGAUCUUCGGACCUUGCGCUAAUAGAUGAGCCUAAGUCGGAUUAGCUAGUUGGUGGGGUAAAGGCCUACCAAGGCGACGAGCUGUAGCGGGUCUGAGAGGAUGAUCCGCGACACUGGGACUGAGACACGGCCCAGACUCCUACGGGAGGCAGAAGUGGGGAAUAUUGGACAAUGGGGGGAACCCUGAUCCAGCCAUGCCGCGUGUGUGAAGAAGGCCUUAUGGUUGUAAAGCACUUUAAGCGAGGAGGAGGCUACUUUAGUUAAUACCUAGAGAUAGUGGACGUUACUCGCAGAAUAAGCACCGGCUAACUCUGUGCCAGCCGCCGCCGUAA
rnacentral:rRNA from 1 species